UUCAUGGUUCGGCCUGAAUUUCUUGUUUUAUUUGCUUACCCUUAUGCUGUCACUUUUUACAGGGACGGUGUGAGUGAGUCUCAGUUCAACCAAGUCCAACAUGUUGAGCUCGAACAAAUCAUUGAGGCCUGCAAGUUCCUUGACGAGAAUGGGUCUCCCAAGUUUGUUGUCAUUGUUGCGCAAAAUCAUCAUCAUACUAAGUUUUUCCAGUCUGGAUCUCCUGAAAAUGUUCCUCCUGUCACCUUCAGAUUCACAA